rnacentral:ncRNA from 1 species
UUCGCUUCAAUUAAAGAAUCACUUUUAGAACUAGUAAGUAUAUUUUAAGACGUAUAAGCUUCAUCGUCGAGAGGGAAACAGUAUGGAUCACCAGCUAAGGCCCCUAAAUGACCGCUCAGUGAAAAAGGAGGUAGGGGUGCAGAGACAGCCAAGAGGUUUGCCUAUAAGCAGCCAUCCUUGAAAGAGUGCGUAAUAGCUCACUGAUCGAGCGCUCUUGCGCCGAAGAUGAACGGGGCUAAGCGAUCUGCCGAAGCUAUGGGAUGUCAAAAUGCAUCGGUAGGAGAGUGUUCCGCCUUAGGGGGAAGCAACCGUGCGAGCGGCGGUAGACGAAUCGGAAGCG